rnacentral:lncRNA from 1 species
AUGAGCUGUUCUACACAGGCUGUGCAGAGAGCCAGCUGUAGGCAAAGGCUCAUCUCUGUCUGGAGACAUUUGGAGACUGCCACAUGGACAUCCUUUGAACUUGCCCUCCCUGCUCCUCCCCUGCCUGUCGGUCUUUGCCUCACAUUCAGGAAACGCAGAAACUGUUGCAGGCUUCUCCACUGGGGAAAAAAGGGAGAUGACAUCCGUGAACAUGUCCUUCCACACUCAAAUAUUUGUGCGCAUAGCUGCAGUGUUAAGGAAAUGCAUCUUAACGGGGGUGCAGCGUGGCUGUGGGGAAUUCUCCACCUUUGUCAAGGAUGCGCUGGAAGGGUGAGACCUUUCCCAGUGUGCAACCCAGCCUCUUCAGAGAGACCCACACUGAGGUCACAUCUCCUCUCCUUCCACAAAGGGAGGCUCUGGAUGUGAAGCUGAAAGGCUCCACAUAGUGAAUUGGAAACAGGUGGGGAAGCCAGCAGAGAAGUACAGCUAGCAUGUGCUUGGGACACCUCCUGAGCUCAGUGGGGCUUCCUUGAUCCAUUGCUUUGAUCCAAAAGGCUCCAUUGAUCCACUCCAUUGAUCCAGGUCCUGCUGAAGGUUACUGUGUCCACCCAAGCUGAUCCCACUAGGAAUCUCUGUCUCUUGAGAGCCCAAUAGGUGGAGAAACAGGCCGACAACUAUGAAACCUAGGGUCUCCUUCUUGCUUUGCUACUCAUCCACUGAGCAACUGUGAAGAAGCCCGUUUGAAAGCUCUGGUGCCUUAGGUUGAAAUAGAGACAGUGAUUACAACUGGCUGAGCAAUGGUUUUUCAUUCCACAAACAUUCUCCAUAUGGUAUUAUUUUUUAAAUUUUCCAUUCCAUUAAAAAACACAAGAAUUACUGACUGCCUCUAGUUGUAAUAUGUUGCAUCUCCCUCAGUCAAGUGGAAGAGCCCUCCAGGUGAAAGACGUCACAUAAGAAACGUUAUUCAAUUGUUCCUUAACCAAGUCCCAGUUCUGAUUACCAAGGGGAUAAAAUUUCCUCGAAAGUGUCCUGGAAAACACCAAGCUGUUGAAGGCCGUCUAAUGCAGUGCGGGCCAGGGUCUAAUCCUCUCGCUCAGCCAAAUCUGCCGGUGCUUGUUAUUUCUGCUACGAAUGAGGCCUGUCUCCUGCCACCCUGGAUGGAGCCCAGGAAUGCCGGUGACUCAACUUCACGGUAUAAUUCAACCCUCCCAGAGGGGCUUGUAGACGGGAUGGCGUUUCCUGUACGAGGAGUGUUUCAAUCUGCUGAAGUCAUUCGAUGGAUAUACACUGCAACGCCAACGAUCGGCCAAUGCUGCUCUUACAUCCGACAGCUUCAAUAGCAGCUUUGCCGAGGGGGCGAAUCAGAUGGCACAGAGGUGAAGCUAGUGCCAUGUAACGGCUCCACGCCAACCUCCGAAUCUGGGUAACCGCCUGUUGUUCAUCCCUGGUUUGCCUUCCAGGAGCCUUUCUAUGCUGGAGACAAUGAGAAAUUUGGGCUGCUUUGUAGUAUAUUCGGGCUGCUUUGCAGGGCCGGCCAGGAGAAAGCAAUUCCAUUGCACAAGACACUUGGGGGCUUGAACUUAAUUUUUGUUCUGAUAUGGAAUGAAAAUGAAACUUUGAAGGGGCUUUUUUUCCAGGAAGAAACAUGAGACAGUUUAUCAAGGCACUAGCUCGCGAUGUGACAGACCAAGUGCUUUAACAUUUGGGGCCCUGCUGUGGCUCCCACCAUGUAAGCACUGCCUUAACAAACUAGUUGUUAUGAGAUGGGUCCCUGUCUCUCUAUGGCAGGGGUUCCCAACGUUUAUGUGCCCCAGGGCGCAUUUGAAUUUAAAAGAAAAAAGCAGCAGAUGCCAAUAUGAAGAUUAAAGUUGAGAAUUUCAAAUCCUGGAUGUGCGCGUGCACAUCGUUUCGUUUGGGGAGGGAGUAGCAAGCGCCGUUCCCUCGCUGCGUCAGUCAGACUAAAUCAGUCUCAUUUUGGUGGCCGUUGCAUGCAGUGUGUGAAAAUUUUUUGGAAGUGUUUCUGUUCUGAGUUUUUUGACAUUUUUUGUCAGAAUAAUGAUUUUUACUGAUUGUGAAAAUGAUGGUGGGCACCUGAAUAAAGCUGGGGGUGGGAGUGCCA